GGACAGAGCCGGGGCCGGCAGAGGGCACCUGCACCUGCCAGUCACGUGACCGCGGGCCGCGGGCCUCGGGCACUGGGGCUGACCCUGCAGGGCUCCCACCCGCCUGGCAGUUGCACAAACUUUACAACAAGCACCAGCUGCUACGGCUCCGGGAGGCUCUGAGCGACCCGGGCUCGCCCGGUGGACAUCCGGGUGUCAGGACCUGCCCCCGCCACGGGGGGCGCGCUCCUGCCGCUGCCGGGGAACCCGCCUCCGGCAUCGCCGCCCCUUGCCGGCCACGCGUGCUGGAAAGUCAGUGUUGGACACAAACAUUUGACUCUGCAGGAGCCACAGACGGUUUCCGGAGCUCGAAUAUUCACUGGCGGCUCCUCGGCGCCUGUGCAGUUGUGCGAACAUUUCCGAGAUGAGGGAAUUCGGCUCGUUUGCGUAGGGCCGCGCUCGAGGGUAGCUGAGCACCUGGCGGCCCGGCCCGCCGCGGCUCCUCGCGCCCAGGGCAGCCAGACCGCAGCCUGCUGCCCGGCCCCCCGGACCCCGCCCCCGGCGCUGGCUCUGGCUGGGGCGGCUCGCAAACCAGUGACGCCAGCAUGAGGCAGGCCGGAGGGCAGUGCGGGAAGGAGAACGUGUUCCUUCAGUCAUUCACUCACUUAUUCAGCAUCUGAAUCUGUAUCUGUUGACUCCCUACCUCGGGCCGGCACCGUGUCCUCACUGGAAGCACAGCCGUGAAGGGACCGACCAAACCCCAGCCCUCCUGGAGGUUAUAUUCCAGGCGUGAGAGCGACGUUUAUUUCAUACAACACGCGGUGUCGGCUGGUGACUGGAGCUCCGGGGCAGAACGAAGAGUCCGGGAGUGCGGAGGAGGAGGAGGUGGGCCUGCCAGGUGCAGUUGGCCAGGUGGUGCACUGCCCAAGUCCGGCAGUACAUUCCCAGCUGUCAUCCUAGAGUUAGGCCCUCACAGGGGUGGCUUCCCAGCAGGUGGCAGUCACAUGUCUGAGGAAGGAUCUCCUUGUAAUUUUCCAGGGCCCCGGCCUGGGCUCACAGCAAUGGGGGGGUGGUGGUGGGGUAGUCCUGCCAGGAUGACACAGAGCUGGGGAUGUCACUUCCAGGCAGCCCUCCCCGCUCAGACAGCUCCUCACACAGCACUGCACGUCUCGGCCACCAGCAGACUCGGGACGAGCCAGGGCCUCAGUGUCCUCAGUGCCCAGACAGCGAGAGUGCCCCAGGCAGAGGGAACAGCUCGUGCAAAGGCCCUGAGGCAGAGAGACGGGUGUCUCAGGGACACAAGUGGCCAGUUUGGUGGGAGGCGUGGAGGAGGAGGAUGUCAGGAGGUGGGAGAGGAGGCGUGUCCUGACUCACUGGUCUCAGGCAGGAGUUUGGACUGGAUCCUCAGUGGGUCUGAGGAGUCUCUCCAAGGCGAGUGGUGCAGCGCCCGCUGACUUGUCUCAGGGCGCAGCGCACCGGGACGUCGCUGCGUGAAGGCCGCCGGGCUCACGCCGUGUCCAGCCCGUGGCGGGUGUGCCGUGGCGAAGGCGAGGGUGUAAAUUCUCAGGUAGAGCCCACAGGGGUCCCGUCCACAGCCGGGGUCGGGGCGUUUCCCCUGUGCCGUGAACAGCAGCAGCGGGAAAUGCUCUGGGUCCAGGCUGAGGCCUCCCCCGCGGGGACGUUUGCGCGUUCGCUGGCUGGUAAUGGAAACUGCCCAGCUGCCCUGCUUCCCCCCACAGUGGGGCACUGUCUCUACUCCAGGCCAUGGGCUCUCACGACCUCGGGCUGAUCGUCAGCAUCAAGG
rnacentral:lncRNA from 1 species